AGUGAACGCUGGCGGUAGGCCUAACACAUGCAAGUCGAACGGCAGCACAGUAAGAGCUUGCUCUUACGGGUGGCGAGUGGCGGACGGGUGAGGAAUACAUCGGAAUCUACUUUUUCGUGGGGGAUAACGUAGGGAAACUUACGCUACUACCGCAUACGACCUACGGGUGAAAGCAGGGGAUCUUCGUACCUUGCGCGAUUGAAUGAGCCGAUGUCGGAUUAGCUAGUUGGCGGGGUAAAGGCCCACCAAGGCGACGAUCCGUAGCUGGUCUGAGAGGAUGAACAGCCACACUGGAACUGAGACACGGUCCAGACUCCUACGGGAGGCAGCGGUGGGAAAUAUUGGACAAUGGGGGCAAGCCUGAUCCAGCCAUACCGCGUGAGUGAAGAAGGCCUUCGGGUUGUAAAGCCCUUUUGUUGGGAAAGAAAAGCAGCAGGUUAAUACCCCGCUGUUCUGACGGUACCCAAAGAAUAAGCACCGGCUAACUUCGUG
rnacentral:rRNA from 1 species